rnacentral:miRNA from 1 species
AUCAGUGGACUCAUUUUUUGUU